rnacentral:misc_RNA from 1 species
GAUGAAGAACGCAGCGAAAUGCGAUACGUAAUGUGAAUUGCAGAUCUCUCAGUGAACCAUCGAAUUUUUGAACGCACAUUGCGCCCGCCAGUAUUCUGGCGGGCAUGCCUGUUCGAGCGUCAUUUCAACCCUCAAGCACAGCUUGGUGUUGGGACUCGCGUUAAUUCGCGUUCCUCAAAUUGAUUGGCGGUCACGUCGAGCUUCCAUAGCGUAGUAGUAAAACCCUCGUUACUGGUAAUCGUCGCGGCCACGCCGUUAAACCCCAACUUCUGAAUGUUGACCUCGGAUCAGGUAGGAAUACCCGCUGAACUUAAGCAUAUCAAUAAGCGGAGGA